GUCAACUAGGAUGGAACAACAUCGACAUCCUCUCAAACAAAUGCAAAUACUGCUCGAUGGAUCAACUAAAGUAUAGAUGCAAGAAUCAACCAAUAAGUCACAGGAAUGUGUAAUCUAGAACUACCGUCAGCCACUAGCCGACAAUCCUACCCCUCUCAGGGUACACCGAUCUCAAAGGUCAUCAAACGACAGAAGUCAAGGAACCGACCGACUAGGUCACCGAUCUCACAGGAAAUCACGAAACCGCUCUACCCUAAACAUGAAACAGGAUAUGCAGAAUAGCUAAGUAGAGCAACAAGAAAACAUGGUAUCACAUACCGAUAGACUAUACUCCUACACAUGAUACUAAACAUGAAAACGUCUGAGUAGAGUAUAAUCAAACAACAUGGGUGUAAUGUGAACAAUAGAGGUGCAAAGCUCAACAUAUAAUAUAUAUAUGGAUAAUAACAAAAGUGCAAGGGUAAGAAACCAUCACCGAGCAUGCACCACUGUACCAACGUCGGAUCGAAGUACCCACCUGUACGAAUGUCGCGUCUGUCUCCUGAUUGCGAAAGAAUGUCAACCGGACCUACAGAGGGUCCACCGGGUUAGUAUCUAACCCACAACUAAUAACCACUAAAUCCACAACCCAAAAACCCGUAUCGUUAACUCACAAUCCCAAAAUCAUAGCCCCUCGGGAAUCGGUUUUCCAAAACCAAUUACCGAACA
rnacentral:lncRNA from 1 species